GUGACUUAUAAAACCUGCACUUGUAAGUAAAUAGCUCGGGUAUCAGGAUUGGGAAACACUUCUUGAUUAGUUUGAAAAGGCCCACUUACAUAUUAAAUCAUAAGAUAAUUUCUAAUCAGUUUGCAAUUCUAACAAUAAUCCUAAUCAUGACCUUGCGUCCUAUGCCUCCUAAUCACAUCCCUAUUUCGAUGGUCCAGUCAUAUCCACACUUAAUACAUGGGAAUCCAUCCUUGG